rnacentral:sRNA from 1 species
AAGGGCCCGGCCGAGGCGGAGCUGCCCGAGGACCCCAGCAUGAUGGGACGGCUCGGGAAGGUGGAGAAGCAGAAACCACUGCAGAGGACCCUUGUUUUGG